ACUGUUCACAGUGCCACACAAGAAUCAGCGAGGAAAGAAGACCCUGUUUAGCUUGACUCUAGUCUGGCACUGUGAAGAGACAUGAGAGGUGUAGAAUAAGUGUGAGGCCUCAGCCGCCAGUGAAAUACCACUACUCUUAUCAUUUUUUCACUUACCCAGUGAGGUGGGGAAGCGA